CACGCCACUGCACUCCAGCCUGGGCAACAGAGCAAGACUUCAUCUAAAAAAAAAAUUAUUACUGAUUUAAUGUCUACAAUGUGGUAAGCAGUGUUCAUGGUUUUGUUGGUGUUACUGAAAUCUUACAAACACCCUAUGAGUUAGUUACUAUUAUUAUUAUCAUCCCCAUUUUACAGAUAUAAAAACAGGGCUCAGAGAAGUUAAGAGAUAUCCUCAAGGUCAUCCAGUUAAUGGGGCACAGGUGGGAUGUACAGUAGAUCUUUCUAAUGCCAUGGGGCCUGUGUUCUUCUAGGUCAAGGUUAAUAUUACCAUUUCUAACGAUUAUGACAAGUUUACUCUGUGCCAGCCACCAUUUUAAGCACAUCAUAUACUUCUCCUUCAAUCAUUACAACUAUUAUUAUUCCCAUUUUACAAGUGAGGAAACAGGCUCAAAUUAAAUACCUUUCUCAAGGGCACAGCUAGUAUAUUGUGGAACCAGGAUUUGAACUCAAGAAGUCUGGUUCCAACUGCAUGCUCUUAACCAUCCAGAAAGCUUCCAGUCCAUGGAGGAUGGGGAGUGGGAGAUGCUGUGGUGAUCAUCUGGGGAUAAAAGAACUACUCCAGUUGCUGCAGGAAUAUGUGAGGUGGAGGGGAUCUCUGGCUUGGCUGCUGUCAUGGAGUCUGUUUGCUUUUUCUUUUCCUGUUUUUCCAGCUCACACCUGCUGCCCCAGGGCCUGGCCAUGAUGCUUGUAGCACAUAAGGCAGGCGCAUGUGGAGACACCAUGCCCCUGAACAGGCUCCGGCUUCCAGCUGCAUGUGGAUUACAUUCUUUUACGCACACAUCAUCACAGACUGGAGCCUGCUUCUGCAGCCUGUCCCCAGACUUCAGUGUCCUGAAUAAAGUUUCUCUAGGAAGCAGUGGCCCACAGAGAGCUGAGUUGGUUUCAAGAGUCCAGGAGACGUACCUGGCUGCUUUCUGAGUGAGCUCCAGCGGGAAAUCAGGACACAGUAAUUGCAGCAAACAGUGAUAUUCUUUCAUGGUCAGCAAAUCUGAAGUGGAAAUGGAGAGGAACACAUUAGGUCUCUGCAUUUCAAGUCACUGCCCUCUUUUUGUUCAUUUCAUGAGUUUCAGACCUGGUCUUGGUAGAGCUGUUCUUUUAAAAGCAAGUCAGUGUGAAGGGUAUGCUAGUCUCUAACCUCCAGGUGUGAGAUUUUAAGAUCAGUAUUUCUACAAAGCUUUUCCAGGGUGGGAGGCAUCCAGUUACACCAUUUUGACCAAAGGAGCUUCACUGGUAUGAAAAUUGGUCGGGUGAAGAGAGCAAACAAGAGAGGCACCUUCAUCAGUCUUCUUUAGUUUGGUUUUCCUUGUAUAUAAAAAUCUGGAAGAACAAGUCAUUUCAAAGCCGGUUAAAUUUGCUGAAAUUCUCUGGCAUGGUAACGUUUCCCACCACAUGCCCAAAGACCAUCCACAGAAUAUCUGGAAGCAGUACUAACGCAAACAGUCUUGCUGUGUAGGGAGAAGAGUACAGCAUAGAAACCCACAGACCUCAUUACUCUGUCAUCCAGUACUGCAGCAGGCUGGCUUCUUUUGAAUGGCUGAACACAAAUCUGGUCAUCCUAUUAUAGGAAGCCAAGACAAAGGUCCAAGAUAUACAGUCAAGGCAACCAAAUGAUUCCUGAUAUACAGAAGCAAUGCUUUGUGCUUUGGGAGAGGUGAGCCAGGAUGAGGCUCUGUGGUCCAGCAGAGAACCCAGAGAGGUGAAUCUCAGAGAAAUUUAUAGGAUCCUGAGGGAGAAGAAAUACACUGAUGCUUAAGUUAUUUUGUUGCUGCAUGUACUGAAGGCAAAAGAUUUUAGAUCAGCCAAGGAGUAAGAAUGUGUAAGUAUUAUCAUAUAUCAAAGCAUUUCGAAUAUGGAAGGGCCUGGUAAUGCUAAAGUGAGAGCAAUCCACCCGGAAGCCUGCCUAAUUGGGAGGAGGAUGAGUGAGAGGAGGGAAUCCAGAGGGCAUGGCUACAUUUGGGGAAUGAAGAUGAUGAUCACAGGCACUUGGUUUCUUUGGACCUAAGUUAGCCCAAGCCACAGGAAUCCAGAUCUCCUGCCCCCGUUAGUUUGGUUGAUGCUUUUCCAAGACAAAAACCCCAAAUCUCCAGGGAAAGGCCUGGGUUCCUAGUACUUUUUCAUCAAAGCUUAAUUCAAGGUGGGGACAGAGAGUUUGACUAACCACACUGCCAAAGUCAGAAACACCAAAGGAACAGACUCAGCGUCAAUAUAGGUCAAAGGAUCAAGAUGGUUUUGUGGCACUCUCCUCUUCCCACUUGCCUGACCUCGGGCACAGCCUGGCAGGAGGUCUUGUUCUUCAAGGGAGGGAGUCAUUGCCACUCGUGGUCUCAGGCUUGGGGUGAGGAAAAAGGCGAAGGGAAGGGAGAAAAUCCACUGAGUCUAAUGUGUUCCCACUUUAUUCUCACUCCAGAACUCCCCAUGUAGAGAAAAGAGAAGAGUGAUUUCUGGCAGGGCAGGGAGUAAAUAAAGGAAAGUUCUAUCUUUGAA
rnacentral:lncRNA from 1 species